rnacentral:tRNA from 1 species
GCCCCGGUAGCUCAGCAGGAUAGAGCGGUCCCCUCCUAAGGGACAGGUCGGCGGUUCGAAUCCGCCUUGGGGCACCA